GCACUGGCCUGAUGAAGACGGAGGUGGUCAGGUUGAUCUGCUCGCUGGUCUGCACCUGAGGAACCACAGCAGCUUCAGACGAAACAUCUAAGACACGUGGCCCGGGGGCCAGAUCCGGCCCACGGGAGGCAUGUUUGUUGGAGUUCACCUGCAUGGAUGCAGCCGUGCUCAAGUUCACCGUGGGAUAUGCAGGCUUUCCGCUCAGCUGCACAGCAAAGCCGCACACACUGCUCAGUCUGCUCCUGACGUCGGACAUGAAGGAGCACAGCACCCCCUGCAGGUCGACCGUAGGAAAACGCUCCGCAGGCUGCAGCCGGAUGCAGCUCAGAGGGUAUCUGCUCUGGAGGGUCAAGGACCAUCAACCUCUGAAUUCUGCUCUUGUGUUGGACCUUAAACUGUGAAAGUUUCAGAAGCUGAUUCAUUCAUUAACUCUGUUAUGAAACUGUCUGUAAAUAAGGUGAGCAAUCCUUGGCACAAUAUUCUAAAUAUUAAAAAAAAUCAACAUUUUAAUCUACACUUACACUUUCACAGAGGAAACUGGACUCACAGAUGUGAAAUUUGUUUGGUCUAACAAGUUUUAUCUUCUUAUAUUUUUUUCUGGAUAAAUGAAAGUACAAUAGAAAAGCUUUGUUUUGUUUUGUGAAUGUUGAGAUUUUCUCGAUGCAGGGGAUCACACAGAGAUCGCUUGCAGUAAACCCCUCAGAGCUCAUGUGUUUCUGGUCGGUAUCAUUCCUUCACCUGACUGAGUUCAGGGAUACGUGUAGAGUCGCUCUCCCAUCGGUUGGAAGCAGAUGUUGCAGUACACCACCUCGUCCUCCCCCUGCUCCGGGAGCCUGUAUCCAUACUGAAACACACAGACAUUUUGAGGAAAUAGUUUUUCAUGCAGCAGCAUCAGAUUUUGUCAGUAAAGACUGAAACUGUUGAGCAAGGAGGAGAUCCAUGAGAACUUAUUCAGAUCUAGUUCAGUCAUGAACUGUUGCCAUGGCAACCGCAGGAGGAGUUUUGGUUGUUUGGGGGCAGCACAGAAAAGUGUGAGCACGUGAAGUCAGGCGGGCAGACAGGAGAACCAUACAGAGCAGGUGGAGCCAUCAUACCUGGGCAGUACGUGGCACCUGAUGGGUCCCCCCAUGGAGGCGGAGUCGAGGACGGCGUGGGGGUCGCUGCACAACCUGUUGAGCACCAGCUGGGACAGACCAAAGUCCUGCAGCUGGACAACAGCCACUGAUGUCAGGACCUUUUCUGAGAACGUCAACCUGAUCGUCAUGAGCGUAACAUCACGCUGCUUACUGUGGGUGGGGGCAGCCGCAUGGUGGUGGCCUGCACGCUCAUGCACAGCUGUCCCUCCCUGCUGCUGAGCACCAAUCCUUCAAAACAAACACAGGGAGCUCCUGAUCUGCUCCAGAAUGAUAGAACAUCACAGAGGAGAGCAGACAGGAACUCACUGACGCCGUUGAGUAUUCCUCCAUCAGUCAGGAAGUCUUUCCCUGAGAACAAAGAGAAAGGAGCAGAAACUCACUGCAAGACACUGGGGGUGUAAGGGUUUAUCUACAGACGUUCUGGCCCACUCUAAAACCUGUAACCAGAAGAUCAUGCUGCUGUCUCAUCUGAUCCUUGAGAGAUUCACAGACCAAAAUGCCUUUCAGGAAAUGCUGUGUUUGUGCUUCACUUCCACAACGAUGAACCCUAAACAAAUCUCUCCACCUGUCAGACUGUCAGCAGGAGCUGCUCUGACUGUUUUUUAAGUCCUUGACUGUUUUCAGGCCUGGAGUUGGACCUUGACUUCAGUCUGAAGUCCAGCUUUGUUUAUCUUUUUAAUGUUUCUAGGUUUACCUUCAAUAACCCUGAAUCCAGUUCCACAAACAAAAUCAAAUCCAGACUUUCUCAGCUACUAAAUAAAUGUGAAAUCUGAAUAUUACUUCAUCAA